rnacentral:rRNA from 1 species
GAUGAACGCUAGCGGGAGGCUUAACACAUGCAAGUCGUGGGGCAGCAUUAGGUAGCAAUACUUAGAUGGCGACCGGCGCACGGGUGAGUAACGCGUAUGCAACCUACCCAGUACAGGGGGAUAGCCCGGAGAAAUUCGGAUUAAUACCCCAUAAUGAUAUUAAGAGGCAUCUUUUAAUAUUUAAAGCUUCGGCGGUAAUGGAUGGGCAUGCGUAAGAUUAGCUAGUUGGUAGGGUAACGGCCUACCAAGGCUCCGAUCUUUAGGGGUCCUGAGAGGGUGAUCCCCCACACUGGUACUGAGACACGGACCAGACUCCUACGGGAGGCAGCAGUGAGGAAUAUUGGUCAAUGGGCGCAAGCCUGAACCAGCCAUCCCGCGUGUAGGAAGAAGGCGCUAUGCGUUGUAAACUUCUUUUCCGGAGGAAUAAAAUCUUGUACGAGUACAGGACUGAAGGUACUCCGGGAAUAAGCAUCGGCUAACUCCGUGCCAGCCGCCGCCGUAACAC